CCUACGUGAGGCAGCAGUGGGGAAUAUUGCGCAAUGGGCGAAAGCCUGACGCCGCGACGCCGCGUGAGGGAUGAAGGUCUUCGGAUCGUAAACCUCUGUCAGCAGGGAAGAACGGUCACUGUGCUAAUCAGCAGUGAAUUGACGGUACCUGCAAAGGAAGCACCGGCUAACUCCGUGCCAGCAGCCGCGGUAAUACGGAGGGUGCGAGCGUUAAUCGGAAUUACUGGGCGUAAAGCGCUCGUAGGCGGUAUGUCAAGUCAAGGGUGAAAUCCCCGCGCUCAACGUGGGAACUGCCUUUGAAACUGGCAAACUGGAGUGUGUGAGAGGAUAGUGGAAUUCCAGGUGUAGGAGUGAAAUCCGUAGAUAUCUGGAGGAACAUCAGUGGCGAAGGCGACUAUCUGGCACAUAACUGACGCUGAGGAGCGAAAGCGUGGGUAGCAAACAGGAUUAGAUACCCUAGUAGUC
rnacentral:rRNA from 1 species